rnacentral:lncRNA from 1 species
CUGUGUGUGUGUGUGUGUGUGUGUGUGUGUGUGUGUAUUCAACAGGUUUGAGGAUGAAUGCCUUAGUUUACAAGCGGUAGUAAAUGGGAAUUAGAGGUGGUAGGAAAGGAAUAGAGCAGAAAUGCUUUUCUUUCUUGUCCUUUUAAGUGUGUGAAGAACAUACAAUAUGGUUGAUCAUCAUCAUGAUAAGGUGGGACAAGGAGGCCAAUUCACACUGUUUUAAUUUUAUUAGCAGUGAAGCUGAGAUUCGAGGAAAUGAAUGGAUUUGCCCACAUUGCACUGGAAGAGGAAGGAAGCCUGGGGCUCCCUCUUUUUACUUAAGAACCCUCAGGACAACAGCUGUGCUUCUCCUCAGUGGGAUGUGUGUUCACAACACAUGGAGAAGAUGCCACACCAAGGAGCCAAAUGCAUUGGACGACACAAAUCAGCCUUCAAAUCAAUACAUCCAAAGUCAUCUGCUGGUAAGUUUAACAGCAUUCACAGAACUGUCAGAAAUCAGCAUGUUUUUCUGUGGGGAAACCUAUGAAACAGAAGGUAUUUUAAGACAUUGUCAUCCCAAGAGCUUGCUAGUGAUUUGGAAGAAACUGAAUUGGCUUGGGAAUCUAAAAUAAGCACCCUAAUGAGGUUAUGCAAAAUAUACAGUUUGGGGGCUGGGGAGAUGGCU